UACGUAGGGUGCGAGCGUUAAUCGGAAUUACUGGGCGUAAAGCGUGUGCAGGCGGUUUGUUAAGACAGGUGUGAAAUCCCCCGGGCUUAACCUGGGAAUUGCGCUUGUUACUGGCAAGCUAGAGUGCGUCAGAGGGAGGUGGAAUUCCACGUGUAGCAGUGAAAUGCGUAGAGAUGUGGAGGAACACCGAUGGCGAAGGCAGCCUCCUGGGAUGACACUGACGCUCAUACACGAAAGCGUGGGGAGCAAACAGG
rnacentral:rRNA from 1 species